rnacentral:lncRNA from 1 species
UUUUUUUUUUUUUUUUUUAGUAAUAUUUACGGCUAUUCAAUUAAAUAGCCGCCAAACAACAGGGACUCUACCACUAUUUCCAAACUCACUAUCUUGGCAUUUGUAGCUUACCAUAUGUUUGAAGUAUGACAUAAUCCUCAUGGAACACAUUCAAUUUGUUGCUUCCCAACUUCAAUAGAAGCAGUUAAGUCUGUCUCCUUUUAGACAAAUUGUUAAUGAAAAGGUAGCUGAACAAUCGUUUCCUUGUAAUAUGCAAUUCUGUCUCCCUAAAUACAGGAGCCUGACAGACCCAUUCAGUCCUUAGUACUUUCUCUAUACAACUGAACUCUCUCUGACCCUCUGAAAUGAACAACUGGAGCCAAAAGAGAGAAAGGGAGGAAAGUUAGUGCAAAAUAAAUACUCACCUGUGAUCCUGAAAGUUGAAUGGAAAGUAUAUUUUACGUUAUGGUUUUCAGAUAAUGUAUGAAUAAUCGCCUUCUGCUGCCGAAUCUAUUUUUUAUUGAUUUUUAAGUAUUUCAUGAUGUUGGUGCAGUGUUUGGAAAGUGGUGGGACUGUCUGAGAGAGUCAGGAUUUAGAGUCCAGAGCUUUCCUCUCUUUUAGCAGUGAGUCGGUGCUGCUGAUCAUGGACAGGUGCGUGGUGCUCCCUUCUUCCAAGAGAACCACGCGGGAGAAAACACAGCGACUGGCCGUCCGUUCAAAGCACACAUGUGAUUUUGUUUUACUUUAUUAAUUUUUUUACAGUUUCCCCAAGAGAUUCUUGAAUGGAAAUGAGCAAAGACAGCAUUACAUCCCAUUAAAAAAUACAAAUAAAAUAUUCUCUGUGGAAUUCUCUGGUGGCCUAGUGGUUAAGGAUCUGGCAUUGUCACUGCUGUGGCGUGGGUCACUGCUAUAGUACGGGAUCAGUCCUGGCCUGGGAACUUCUGCAUGAGGUGGGUCCGGCCAAAUUAAAAUAAAUAAAUAAAUAAAAUAUACUAACUACGUCUUUAAAACAUAGUGUAGAAUAGUAAUUGCUGGUAUUUAUUGAGUGUUCACCCUGUGCCAUCCCAUACUUAGGUUAUCCCUGGACCUCAUCAGUGAAGGGUGGAUGGGCCACAGUGAUCACUCCCAUUGGACAGAUGUAGAAAUGUGGGUCAGAGAGGUUAAUUAACUUGCCUAAGAUCACCCAGCAAUUUUACACUGAAGAAGGCAAACUCUGAGGUCAGGACACUUAACUCCUGUAUCACAGCUGAAUCACUUCAUAGUCAAACCUCAUCAACUCAGACUACUUUGGGGAUCUGGGGGAGGAACAGUCUGAAUGACAGAAUGUUUAAAAGGAAAUGCAACCUUACACCUCCAAAGAGAUGUGUGUAGAGUCAAUUUAAUAAGGGUUUCCAGGUUAGGAAACAGUCUUGACAAUCUCAUUUUACUGUAAAGGAAAAUAUUUGGUUUGUAAAAUAAUAAAGCAUAUAAUAUUCAAGGUCUUACUUUCAUGAUUCUAAUCUAUGAUUUUCAUAGUACAAACGGAAACUAUUUGCGUAUCAAUUAAACAGCAUGCUGUGUGGACCAUAUAAGUGCCUUGGGAAGGCAGUUACUUGCGGAGGACUCUGAGAGUGUCGACUCCGGCCUCAGGGCUGGGUUCAAAGGCUGGCACAAUCUCCCAGGCUUGAGGGCGAGAUGCAUCAGUAGGUAUUCAGCAGCCCUUAGCACAGUGCCGGGAGCAGAGAAGGGGCUCAACUGGAGCAGACAGCCCUCCCCGGUACCACCGAGCUGAGGACUCAGUGCUCUGGGAGUGGGCAGGAGACAGCACUGCAACCACUGAGCACCUUGUGUAGGGAAUCGGACGUGUGCGGCCGUCCUGCAGGAGGAGGUGGGAAUGAGGGGGCAGGAGGUGGCCCCAUCCAGACAGCCUCAUGACAGCAUUUGGGCUUCCUCCUGUGGGUACUAGGGAGCAUGGAAGAUCCUUGAGACUGGAGCGAUAGGGUAGAUUUAGGGAGUGAUUCGAUGGAGAGAGAACAGAGACCUUAUCAGGAGGGGGACAAAAGGAAAGGAGACAAAUGCUCCGGGGGCCAUCAGGCACACGCAGGUGGGGUGGGGGUGGGGCAGACGGGUGUGACCUGAAGGCUGGGCGCCCAUCAGACCACCAGCCUGUUCCCACCACACUGGAGACCACGUGGCUUGUAGAGCCUGACGCCCUGCUUACCACUUAACCCCUCAUAAGUUUUCUCCCCAGUUCCCUCAUAGACGGAAAAUGCGGUGACCACACUAAACAGGGGCUUUCGGCCACCUGCCAGUUGUACUCCUGGUGCACAGGUGAGACACCCCUGCUUUGUUAGCAGGAGCCAGCCUCCCAGCCCCACACCCCUGGCGCUCUACACAGAUCAAGCUUCUGGAAUGCUCAGCCCGAGGCUCGCCCCAGAUGGUAGAGAGUCUGCCAAAGUAAAUGCCCCCCACGGGCUUUCCUGGGGGCCAAGCAGCACAUUGUGCCUUUGCUUCGGUUGCUCUAUGACCUCCUGGAGGCACCCCUGCUCCUCCGGCUUUUCCUCUGAAUUCUAGACCCGGGUUUCCGCUGUGCUUUAAGGCUCCAUCUUGUUGAUGGCGUCUUCAUCCCACUCAGCACCCAGCUUGACAGAGCCAAGCCCAGGCCCUUCAUGCCCGUGCGCACGUCCUCGCUUCCCUGGCGACCUUGCUCUGUGACCUGGCAGAAAGUCCACUUGGGCCAAGGCCCAUGUGCCCCGAUGCUUUCUCCUGGCUUCAGCUCUUGGCUGACAGUACUUGACCUUCGCAGGCUUUAUCUCCAGGCUUCCUUUAGGUCUUUAACCCAGUCUCUCCCUGUGGGCGGGGUCUCAGCUUUGGCUUCCUUUGGUGAGACCCCUGCCCCAGUGUUGCAUCCUCCCCACCCCUCCCCUGGGACCCAAGCAAGUUCCACACCUGCAGCCCAUUUUGCCUCAGCUUGACCUUUGGACAUCUCCAUGUUCAUGUCCAAAAGUCAUGGCCAAAGUCAAAACUAUUCUGGCCCCCUCAAAUCUGUUUUUUCUUUGACACUCUUGGAUUUCAAAAAAUGACAUUAGCUUUUAUCUAUUUAUUCAAAGUAGAUACUUGUAGUUAUUUUUCACCCUCUGCUUCUUCCUCACAGCCAGCCUUUGGUAAAUCCUCCUCUUAAAUAUCACUCCCAGCUCCAGCUCUCUGUCCUCUCUGCUGUCACUGCCACUCAGAACCUGGGGUUGGGGCCACCCAAGCACAGGGAUGGCCUUUAGCUGGUCUCCUUUGCCUCUUCUUCCCAUUCUUCUACCCCCUCCCAGCCACGCUCCACAUUGCUGCUCUGUAAACUACACUUCUUUUUAAAAAGUAAUUAUUUUACUUAUUUUAAUUUUUAUCUCACAUUGAAGUAUAGUUGAUUCUAUACGACUUCUUUAUUGUGAUGUUUAUCAGUCUCUAUUAUUUAUUUAUUUAUCUGGCCACACCCAUGGCUCGUGGGAGUUCCAGAGCCAGGAUCUCUUCUGCUAUGAAGGGAAACAACAACAGCCACCACCAACUAACCAACAAAACCGAUAAAACCCCUUUGGUGGCUCUCAGUGCCUGCAGGGUGGACUCCUGGAUUCAUGUUACAGGAUGUUCAUCAUUUAGCCCUAACUUUCCAGCCCCUUCCCCGUCUUACAGUUCAGCCACCUACCUGCCACUGUGCCCCUAUUUCCCGAGAAAGCUCUGCAUUUGUGAGUUUGUUUGUUUUUAAAUGCACCUCUGAGCUUUUAUGCCUGCUACGGAUGCUGUUUUGCAUACCUUGUCCCGUUGUUUGCUUGUUGACUCUUGUUCACAAAGGCUUGGUUCAAAGGAGCAGUGGCAGACAUUCCUUUCUCUGUGUUUCAUGGUGACAGGAAUGCGCUGAUACUCACCUUGUAUUGCACUUACUUGUCUCCCAGGCAGCCUAGGUAGACUCUGAGUUGCUGGAGGGUAGGCCCUGUGCCUUACUGUAUUUGCACCAGUGCUUGGCUCUGUGCAGGGCCCCAGCGGUCAUUGCACAAGGAAGCGGGGGGUGGGGGGUGGCAGAGGAAGGGACAGUGGCCAGGCCUGGGAAAUAAAACGGGAAGCAGUAUGCCAUGGAUUGGGGGCAGGCAUUAAGAAAGAUAAAGAACAGCUAGAAUCCAUGAGCUGUAACAGCUCAGAACUUUGUGAUUGACUUUUAUGUGUCAUAGAACCUUGCCCCAUUGUCAACAGGUCUGGGAAAAGCCACAGCCUCAAUGUUUUAAGCAUGUUACUAUAAUUCAGUGCUCCAUAAAGUGGUCUUUAAAUUGUGUUUUGAGCCUGGGACGUGCACAUCGGUGACAUGCUUAACUGUAUAGCCACAGCAAAACAGGAAUCUAGACCAAUCUGUAUGCAGAUACAAUGCUUCAAGUUCAUUACUGUUAUUAGGAAAUGGAAAUACAGCCAGAGUAGAAAUAACAGUCUAUUUCUCUCUGCCUGUGUUGUAUUUUUGUCAAUGGGGCUUCUGAAGGACUACACGUGCAUUUACUAACCCAUUAGAAUGAGUGAUUUUAUAUCCUAAUGUAGAAUUAAAGGAAUUUAAGGAUCUGCCUAGGAAAUACACUUGUUUAAACCUAAAUUAAUGUCUCUAUUAGUUGUGUUGGCUAGGUCAGUGGUAUAUUACUGGAAAAGAAAAUGUCCCAGCCCUGUGUGUGCUUUCUAAAAUCUCAGUGUAUUUCUUUUCUGACAAGAUAGAGGGCUGAUUUUCUUCUCCUCUGUCCAAAAUAUAAAACACAGGGACAACAUAACUAUUCUUAAAUGCAAAACAUCACAUCAAAUCUUUAUCAAAAAAAUCUCAUUCCUAUUACGGCAUUCUCCAUUUUUCUGUGAGGCCUCUCCCAGCUCUCAUCUUUGAGGCCAGUCAUUUCUUUUCCUUAGGCCCAACCAGCAGUAUUUGCUGUGGUAUUUACCAGGGCCUCCCCUAGGUUGUGCGGGAUCCUGGGCAAGUCUUCUUUUGUGGGGCCUCUGUCCCUGUUAACAAUUUGAUUGAAACACGUGUUAAAAAAUGCAUGGGCCACUGAGAGGCAUUGAUUUAUCAGUGAAGAUUUAGAAUCAUGGGUAGAAGAGAUACUUAUGUACUUAUUUCUUCUCCCGUCAGUGCUUGUGAAGCACCUCCUUCUCUCCAGACACCACCUCUUCCCGUCCAAGUCUAGGAGCCAUCUCCUCAUUGUGUUUAUUGCCAAAAGCACCCGUCCUUGAUAAUUCUACACCCCUGCCCACCGUUGUCACCCAGGACACAUGACUCUUUGGAACCUGUUUGUAUCAAAACAAUACAGCUCAUCUUGCCUUUGAGGCUUCCCCGGUCCACGUACUGAGGGCGGGCUCUACUGUGGUACCUCCCUCAAGUGGUUCAGGAACACCGGCCUCCAGGGAUAAUCUCAAAGGCGUUACUGUGCUUUGUUGAUGAUAAUGACAAAUGCACCCCUUCCCAGAGAAUGCAGUGACACUCGGAUGAUUGCGGUCAUGUAGUCAAUGUAUUAGUUUCACGUCAUCAGGACAGGACAGAGCGCCUUCCAGCUGCAUCUUGAGCUCUUUUGAUGCUCAUCCCUGUGCCCUCUCUCAGGGUCGAUCACAGCUUUGCUGUCAUAACUCAGGGGCAGGGCGAGGUGAGAGGAGUGGGCCAUCAGUGUAGGAGGACCCACCCCUUAUCCUGCGGGGCUUCACACGCACCUGGAAAGGACAACUAGACAGGAUUCCUACUGGAUUUACUGCUCUUUCUAGAAAAAAUGCCAACCUAAAGGUUUGCAGACCGUCUUCUUGAGUUAUCCCAGAAACAAUCCAUCAGGUCUUCUGAGAUAACUGGGAACCUUGACAAAUAAAAAUAGUGUCCUGGAUGUCCCAGCCACUGUGCAUGUGUGUGUAUGUCAACAGUUGGAAGUGCCGAGCGGUUUUCAUAAUUUUCUGCACCCGUUUGUGAGGUGUACUUUGGUGCUGAUUUUAUUUUUCCUAUGUGAAAGGGGUGUUGAUGUAGAGUAGGCUGUGUGUGUUGGGGGGCAGGGAGUAUGUGGGAACACUCUGUACUUUUAGCUCAAUUUUACUGUGAACCUAAAACAGCUUAAAAAAAAAAAAACAAACAAACCCAAACUGUUUAACAGGAAAGACAAACAAAAGGACUGGCUGGAAGAGUGUGAUGUCACCACGUUGACUGAGAGUGGGAGAGGGUGGUUUAAAAAGCCUCACACUGUUAUGGGGCAAUGGUCUGGAAAGCUCUCAGAGGAUAUGGGUGUAGUCACCCAUGUGGCGUGGAGACUACAGAAGAGUUGGGGUGACCCCCCUGCAUGCCAGGGUCUGGCCACCACCCCAGCUGCCCCUGGGUGCUGUGGACCAGAGGCAGCACUGUGGGUGGAACACAGAGCCAGUCCAUAGAUUCAUACACCUGUCCAAGAGUUGCCGUGGUCCUUCGGGAGCUCAGAGCCCUGAACUUGUCCGGAGUCUGACAUAAGUGAGAAUCUCCAAAAUCGUCAUGUCAGCACCAUUCUGACAACCUGGUGUCAUGCAAACCUUUGAGACCAAAAUGGCAGGACGCGGUCAUGGGUUUGUAACUUCAAAUAAAACCAGGACUGGGGUUCAGGGUGGGGGCAGGGGCACUGGAUGGAGAUCCCACCCGACCUGGGAGUGGGAUCAGGGUGGACACUCAGAGCAAAACAGAACACGACUCCAGACAAGUCCUCUCCGCUGGGACCACCCCUUUGCUGGGUGUGAUCUUUCAGGGUCUUUGCUGUUUGCCUUAGAUCCCUAGGGAAGCUUUAACUCAGGUAACAGAAAACCCCCACGUUUCAGUGGCUGGACCUGAUGGAAUCUGCUUUCUGGUAAAAAUCCAGCAGGGGCGUCCUGGCUGCCAGGCAAUGUCCAGGACCCAGGCGUCUCCCUUGGUGGAGCCUAAGGCUGUGGCUGCCUCUGCAUCUGGAUGGGGGUUGGGGGCAGGGCAAAGGGAUGGAGAUGGGCCUCUUAACACCCAGGAAGUUGAUGAGAACGAAGCCCCUUGCCCUCCUCCGUGUCCCAGAACCCUGGAGGGUGCUCUCUUGAAAGGAGGUACAGGGACCCGCAGCACCAGUGUUUGCUAUCCCACCACGACUGCACAAAGGGGCUCUGGGUGGGAAAGGCCAUUCCUGAGAAGGAGACCUGGGUUCUGUUAGAACGGGGAUUGAUGGAGUUCCAGUCGUGGCGCAGUGGUUAACGAAUCCGACUAGGAACCAUAAGGUUGCGGGUUCAGUCCCUGCCCUUGCUCAGUGGGUUAACGAUCCGGCGUUGCGGUGAGCUGUGGUGUAGGUUGCAGAUGCGGCUCGGAUCCCGCGUUGCUGUGGCUGUGGUGUAGGCCGGUGGCAACAGUUCCCUAGCCUGGGAACCUCCAUAUGCCGCGGGAGCGGCCCAAGAAAUANNNNNNNNNNNNNNNNNNNNNNNAAAAAAAAAAAAAAAAAAAAAAAAAAAAAAAG